CGCCUCUUGAGUAAUAAGAGGUACUGCCUGCUCGAUGCUUAACGUAAAUGGCCGCGGUAUUCUGACCGUGCUAAGGUAGCAUAAUCAUUUGUCUCUUGAUUAGAGGCUGGUAUGAAUGGCAAGACGAGAAAGUAACUGUCUCUUUUGUGACUCUUGAAUUUCACUUCUGGGUGAAAAGGCUCAGAUGAAUUUGGAGGACGAUCAGACCCUAAAGAGCUUAAACUUCUUUUAUUCCUAUCUUAAUUGAUGUUAUAAGAGGUUAUAAUGGAGGUUUUAGUUGGGGCGACAAAGAGCAUAAAAUAACACUCUUUUAAAUAACCACAUAUUGGUGAAAUAUUGAUCCCCCAUGCGGGAUUAAAAGACUAAGUUACCUUAGGGAUAACAGCGUAAUAUUCUUGGAGAGUUCUUAUCGAUAAGAAAGUUUGCGACCUCGAUGUUGGAUUAAGAAAUUAGUGAGGUGCAGAAGCUUCACAGGAAAGUCUGUUCGACUUUUAAUAUCUUACA
rnacentral:rRNA from 1 species